rnacentral:lncRNA from 1 species
CGUGGUGGGGUGUGUGCUAAUUUUUUCCACUGCAACAUCUUAACGCCCCUUUCUCUCCUUCUUCCUGAUCAUGCCCCAUCUUUUCUCAGAUCUGAUCUGAGAUAGAGAGAGUUUAGAGAGAAAAAGGAAGAGAAGAAGAAGGAUUCUUCUUCUUCUUGUUGUUGUCCAUUUUAGAUCUUAUUACAUCAGUGCGAAGGAUUCGUGUUGCAAUUCUAUUC